CAAAAUACCCUAAAUUAAUUAAUUAAAUACAAGUUUUCAAUUAAAAGAAUAAAAAAUAAAAACAUUCAGUUUAAGUCACAGAAUUUUUUCCCACAGAUAUAUACAUAAUUAAUUGCUUUAAGUGGCCAUAUUAAAAAGAAAAAGUUUCUUCAGUUUAUAACUUUAUUUGUUUUGGCAGAGAAAAGAACAAAAAUAUGAUUAAGAAAGGAAAAAAAGGAAGGAAAAGAAAAAUGCAGGAAUGAAUCAGAUAAUAAUGUCCAGCAAAUAUAAAUUUGCUGGAAAACUCUCUCAGUUAUUAUAGAAUGCUAUUUUCUUUCUUCAGAAGGUGCUAAUUCCAGAUAAAUGUAAUUGCACCAUGGAAUCAGACGAUUGGGGUUCAAAUUCCAGCUCCGUUAUUUGUUACCUGUCUGAUCUUGGAUUCUGUAGCCUGGGAACUUCCAAAAUCAAGGGGAAAAAUUGACCCCUAUUCAAGGAAGAACAGAAGCACAGAAAUGAGAGUAAAGCUGUACAAUGUGGCAGCCAAGAAAGCUAAAGUCAUCUUUGGCUGUACUGAGAGGCCUAAACUUCCAGGCUUAAAGAAGGGACACAGUUCCAGUCAAACUGCCUCUAGAGCCCUGUGGGUGAACCUACAAUAUACGUGCCAGAGGGAGCUGCUCCCUUCCCCCUCUCCAAUGUGCUGAGAACAUUUCUACCAUAACCCACCUCUCUGCCGGCAGCUCAAUGAAAGUGCUUCCUCCCUUCCCUAUCUGAGGUGCGGGGGUGCUUCACAUGCAGCAUAAGGGUUGCAGUUUGGGCACUCAGUCUCUAAAAAGUUUGUCAUCACUGCUCUAGAGUUUUUUGUUCAGUUCUCCCCAUGGGUUACCAAAAAAAAUUUAAAAAGACUUGGCAACAGAUUGGAUAUGUGGCAUAAGUUGAUGAUGAUAUCUUAAGUCAUGUGCCUGGGUACCUGAGAUGAGUACUGGAGUCAAGGUUAGAUAAGGAUUAAUUGAAGAAACUGAGAGUAUUCAGCCUACAAAUGACUUAAAGUUGUGUUUUCAUAAUAAUGUUAUAUAAAUUGGUCUCCUGGUUCUGUUCACUUCAUUCUUUAUCAGUUUACACAGUUCCCAUUCGUGACUCUAAAGAUCUGAUGAUGAAAUUUGCUAUCCAUUACAGAAAGGUAUUAGAUUUAGAUUAUAGAAUGAGAAAUGCAGUUUGUGAAUUACACACUAACUACCUAUCUAUCUAUAUUAUAUACAUAUAUACACA